AGAGUUUGAUCCUGGCUCAGGAUGAACGCUGGCGGCGCGCCUAACACAUGCAAGUCGAACGGCACCCCUCUCCGGAGGGAAGCGAGUGGCGAACGGCUGAGUAACACGUGGAGAACCUGCCCCCUCCCCCGGGAUAGCCGCCCGAAAGGACGGGUAAUACCGGAUACCCCGGGGUGCCGCAUGGCACCCCGGCUAAAGCCCCGACGGGAGGGGAUGGCUCCGCGGCCCAUCAGGUAGACGGCGGGGUGACGGCCCACCGUGCCGACAACGGGUAGCCGGGUUGAGAGACCGACCGGCCAGAUUGGGACUGAGACACGGCCCAGACUCCUACGGGAGGCAGCAGUGGGGAAUCUUGCGCAAUGGGGGGAACCCUGACGCAGCGACGCCGCGUGCGGGACGGAGGCCUUCGGGUCGUAAACCGCUUUCAGCAGGGAAGAGUCAAGACUGUACCUGCAGAAGAAGCCCCGGCUAACUACGUGCCAGCAGCCGCGGUAAUACGUAGGGGGCGAGCGUUAUCCGGAUUCAUUGGGCGUAAAGCGCGCGUAGGCGGCCCGGCAGGCCGGGGGUCGAAGCGGGGGGCUCAACCCCCCGAAGCCCCCGGAACCUCCGCGGCUUGGGUCCGGUAGGGGAGGGUGGAACACCCGGUGUAGCGGUGGAAUGCGCAGAUAUCGGGUGGAACACCGGUGGCGAAGGCGGCCCUCUGGGCCGAGACCGACGCUGAGGCGCGAAAGCUGGGGGAGCGAACAGGAUUAGAUACCCUGGUAGUCCCAGCCGUAAACGAUGGACGCUAGGUGUGGGGGGACGAUCCCCCCGUGCCGCAGCCAACGCAUUAAGCGUCCCGCCUGGGGAGUACGGCCGCAAGGCUAAAACUCAAAGGAAUUGACGGGGGCCCGCACAAGCAGCGGAGCAUGUGGCUUAAUUCGAAGCAACGCGAAGAACCUUACCAGGUCUUGACAUCGAGUGACGUACCUAGAGAUAGGUAUUUUCUUCGGAACACAAAGACAGGUGGUGCAUGGUUGUCGUCAGCUCGUGUCGUGAGAUGUUGGGUUAAGUCCAGCAACGAGCGCAACCCUUACCAUUAGUUGCUACGCAAGAGCACUCUAAUGGGACUGCCGUUGACAAAACGGAGGAAGGUGGGGAUGACGUCAAAUCAUCAUGCCCCUUAUGACCUGGGCUACACACGUACUACAAUGGCAAUAUAACAGAGGGAAGCAAUACAGCGAUGUGGAGCAAAUCCCCAAAAAUUGUCCCAGUUCAGAUUGCAGGCUGCAACUCGCCUGCAUGAAGUCGGAAUUGCUAGUAAUCGCAGAUCAGCAUGCUGCGGUGAAUACGAUCCCGGGCCUUGCACUCACCGCCCGUCA
rnacentral:rRNA from 1 species